GACGAACGCUGGCGGCGUGCUUAACACAUGCAAGUCGAACGGAAAGACCAUGCUUUUGCUCGUCGCUCGAUUGGCGAACAGGUGUGUAACACAUGUGUAACCUGUCCUUGACUUUGGGAUAAAUCUAGGGAACUCGGGCUCAUAUCUGAUAUGAUCUCCUGCUCCAUUGUGGUGGUUGGAAAAUUUCGGCGGUUUGGGCUGGAUUCGCAGCUUAUCAGCUUGUUUGUGGGGUAGUGGCUUACCAAGUCUUCGACGGGUAGGCGACCUGGGAGGUUUACCGGCCACAAUGGGACUGAGAGACGGCCCAGACGCCUACGGGAGGCAGCAGGGGGGAAUAUUGCACAAUGGGCGGAAGCCUGAGGCAGCAACGCCGCGAGCGGGAUGACGGCCUUCUAGUUAUAAACCGCUGUCGCCGGAGACGAGGCGGUAGUGACGGUAAUGAGUAAGGAAGCAACGGCUAACUACGUG
rnacentral:rRNA from 1 species